UACAGAGGUCCCAAGCGUUGCUCGGAUUCACUGGGCGUAAAGGGUGCGUAGGCGGUUUGGUAAGUCUUAUGUGAAAUCUACAGGCUCAACUUGUAGUCUGCAUGAGAAACUGCCGGGCUUGAGUAUGGGAGAGGUGAGUGGAAUUCCUGGUGUAGCGGUGAAAUGCGUAGAUAUCAGGAGGAACACCUGUGGCGAAAGCGGCUCACUGGACCAUAACUGACGCUGAUGCACGAAAGCUAGGGGAGCAAACAGG
rnacentral:rRNA from 1 species